rnacentral:rRNA from 1 species
UGCAGUCGUGCGCGAAACGUAGCAAUACGUGGAGAGCGGCGAAAGGGAGAGUAAUACAUAGGUACGUACCCUCGGGUCUGGGAUAGCGGCGGGAAACUGCCGGUAAUACCAGAUAACGUCUUCGGACCAAAGGUGUGAUUCCACCUGGGGAGCGGCCUGUGGCCUAUUAGCUUGUUGGCGAGGUAACGGCUCACCAAGGCAAAGAUGGGUAUGGGGCGUGAGAGCGUGCCCCCACUCACUGGGACUGAGAACUGCCCAGACACCUACGGGUGGCUGCAGUCGAGAAUCUUCGGCAAUGGGCGCAAGCCUGACCGAGCGACGCCGCGUGCGGGAUGAAGGCCUUCGGGUUGUAAACCGCUGUCGUAGGGGAGGAAGGCUCCGUGCAGAACGGAGUUUGACCGAUCCUAGGAGGAAGGGCCGGCUAAUCUCGUGCCAGCAGCCGCGGUAAUACGAGAGGCCCAAACGUUAUUCGGAUUUACUGGGCUUAAAGAGUUCGUAGGCCGCGCAGAUAGUGGGGUGUGAAAGCCCUCGGCUCAACCGAGGAAUUGCGCUCCAAACUGCCGAGCUUGAGUAGGCUAGAGGUGAGCAGAACUGAUGGUGGAGCGGUGAAAUGCGUUGAUAUCAUCAGGAAUACCGGAGGCGAAGGCGGCUCACUGGGACCUAACUGACGCUGAGGAACGAAAGCUAGGGGAGCACACGGGAUUAGAUACCCCGGUAGUCCUAGCCGUAAACAGUGAGCACUGGACCGGGGGCCUGCACAGGCCCUCGGUCGUAGCGAAAGUGUUGAGUGCUCCGCCUGGGGAGUAUGGUCGCAAGGCUGAAACUCAAAUGAAUUGACGGGG